rfam:Dipodomys ordii contig_39947, whole genome shotgun sequence.
GGAAGUUGGCUCAGUGGUAGAGUGCUUGCCUUGCAUGCAUGAGGCCCUGGGUUCGAUUCCUCAGCACCACCA